rnacentral:rRNA from 1 species
AACGAACGCUGGCGGCAUGCCUAACACAUGCAAGUCGAACGAGACCUUCGGGUCUAGUGGCGCACGGGUGCGUAACGCGUGGGAAUCUGCCCUUGGGUUCGGGAUAACAGUUGGAAACGACUGCUAAUACCGGAUGAUGACUUCGGUCCAAAGAUUUAUCGCCCAGGGAUGAGCCCGCGUCGGAUUAGCUAGUUGGUGAGGUAAAGGCUCACCAAGGCGACGAUCCGUAGCUGGUCUGAGAGGAUGAUCAGCCACACUGGGACUGAGACACGGCCCAGACUCCUACGGGAGGCAGCAGUGGGGAAUAUUGGACAAUGGGCGAAAGCCUGAUCCAGCAAUGCCGCGUGAGUGAUGAAGGCCUUAGGGUUGUAAAGCUCUUUUACCCGGGAAGAUAAUGACUGUACCGGGAGAAUAAGCCCCGGCUAACUCCGUGCCAGCGGCCGCCGUAAUAC